ACCGCUGUAGCUCAGAGGAUAGAGCAGCGCACCGACGAUGUUGCAGGUCGCGGGUUCGAUCCCCGCCAGCGGUU
rnacentral:tRNA from 1 species